GCCAUUCGGCGUGCUACCAUGCAAGUCGAGCGGUAAGGCCCUUCGGGGUACACGAGCGGCGAACGGGUGAGUAACACGUGGGUGAUCUGCCUUGCACUUCGGGAUAAGCCUGGGAAACUGGGUCUAAUACCGGAUAUGACCACGAACUGCAUGGUUUGUGGUGGAAAGAUUUAUCGGUGCGAGAUGGGCCCGCGGCCUAUCAGCUUGUUGGUGAGGUAACGGCCCACCAAGGCGACGACGGGUAGCCGACCUGAGAGGGUGACCGGCCACACUGGGACUGAGACACGGCCCAGACUCCUACGGGAGGCAGCAGUGGGGAAUAUUGCACAAUGGGCGAAAGCCUGAUGCAGCGACGCCGCGUGCGGGAUGACGGCCUUCGGGUUGUAAACCGCUUUUGACAGGGACGAAGCGCAAGUGACUGUACCUGUAGAAUAAGGACCGGCCAACUACGUGCCAGCAGCCGCGGUAAUACGUAGGGUCCGAGCGUUGUCCGGAAUUACUGGGCGUAAAGAGCUUGUAGGCGGUUCGUCGCGUCGUUUGUGAAAACUUGGGGCUCAACCUUAAGCUUGCAGGCGAUACGGGCGGACUAGAGUACUUCAGGGGAGACUGGAAUUCCUGGUGUAGCGGUGAAAUGCGCAGAUAUCAGGAGGAACACCGGUGGCGAAGGCGGGUCUCUGGGAAGUAACUGACGCUGAGAAGCGAAAGCAUGGGUAGCAAACAGGAUUAGAUACCCUGGUAGUCCAUGCCGUAAACGGUGGGUACUAGGUGUGGGGCUCCUUCCACGGACUCCGUGCCGUAGCUAACGCAUUAAGUACCCCGCCUGGGGAGUACGGCCGCAAGGCUAAAACUCAAAGAAAUUGACGGGGCCCGCACAAGCGGCGGAGCAUGUGGAUUAAUUCGAUGCAACGCGAAGAACCUUACCUGGGUUUGACAUACACCGGAAACCUGCAGAGAUGUAGGCCCCCUUGUGGUCGGUGUACAGUGGUGCAUGGCUGUCGUCAGCUCGUGUCGUGAGAUGUUGGGUUAAGUCCCGCAACGAGCGCAACCCUUAUCUUAUGUGCCAGCGCGUAAUGGCGGGACUCGUGAAAAGACUGCCGGGUCAACUCGAGAAGUUGGGACGACGUCAGGUCAUCAUGCCCC
rnacentral:rRNA from 1 species